AUUGAACGCUGGCGGCAGGCUUAACACAUGCAAGUCGAACGAUGAUUAUCUAGCUUGCUAGAGAAGAUUAGUGGCGGACGGGUGAGUAACAUUUAGGAAUCUGCCUAGUAGUGGGGGAUAGCUCGGGGAAACUCGAAUUAAUACCGCAUACGACCUACGGGUGAAAGGGGGCGCAAGCUCUUGCUAUUAGAUGAGCCUAAAUCAGAUUAGCUAGUUGGUGGGGUAAAGGCCCACCAAGGCGACGAUCUGUAACUGGUCUGAGAGGAUGAUCAGUCACACCGGAACUGAGACACGGUCCGGACUCCUACGGGAGGCAGCAGUGGGGAAUAUUGGACAAUGGGGGCAACCCUGAUCCAGCCAUGCCGCGUGUGUGAAGAAGGCCUUUUGGUUGUAAAGCACUUUAAGCAGGGAGGAGAGGCUAAUGGUUAAUACCCAUUAGAUUAGACGUUACCUGCAGAAUAAGCACCGGCUAACUCUGUGCCAGCAGCCGCGGUAAUACAGAGGGUGCGAGCGUUAAUCGGAAUUACUGGGCGUAAAGCGAGUGUAGGUGGCUCAUUAAGUCACAUGUGAGAUCCCCCGGGCUUAACCUGGGAACUGCAUGUGAUACUGGUGGUGCUAGAAUAUGUUAGAGGGAAGUAGAAUUCCAGGUGUAGCGGUGAAAUGCGUAGAGAUCUGGAGGAAUACCGAUGGCGAAGGCAGCUUCCUGGCAUAAUAUUGACACUGAGAUUCGAAAGCGUGGGUAGCAAACAGGAUUAGAUACCCUGGUAGUCCACGCCGUAAACGAUGUCUACUAGCCGUUGGGGUCCUUGAGACUUUAGUGGCGCAGUUAACGCGAUAAGUAGACCGCCUGGGGAGUACGGCCGCAAGGGUUAAAACUCAAAUGAAUUGACGGGGGCCCGCACAAGCGGUGGAGCAUGUGGUUUAAUUCGAUGCAACGCGAAGAACCUUACCUGGUCUUGACAUAGUGAGAAUCCUGCAGAGAUGCGGGAGUGCCUUCGGGAAUUCACAUACAGGUGCUGCAUGGCUGUCGUCAGCUCGUGUCGUGAGAUGUUGGGUUAAGUCCCGCAACGAGCGCAACCCUUUUCCUUACUUGCCAGCGGGUUAAGCCGGGAACUUUAAGGAUACUGCCAGUGACAAACUGGAGGAAGGCGGGGACGACGUCAAGUCAUCAUGGCCCUUACGACCAGGGCUACACACGUGCUACAAUGGUAGGUACAGAGGGUUGCUACACAGCGAUGUGAUGCUAAUCUCAAAAAGCCUAUCGUAGUCCGGAUUGGAGUCUGCAACUCGACUCCAUGAAGUCGGAAUCGCUAGUAAUCGCAGAUCAGAAUGCUGCGGUGAAUACGUUCCCGGGCCU
rnacentral:rRNA from 1 species